GGACUGUGUCUCAGUGGCAGAGCAACUGCUUUGCAUGCAGAAGGACUCUGGUUCAAUCUCUGGCAUCUCCA